UAAGUUCACCUAUUAGAUGCAAGUGGAAAUAAAGUUGAAAUAAGAGUGAUGACAGAUCAAUAGAAGAAAGGUUAUAAGAAUCAUCACAAAACAAGAACCAUCUUUCUAAAUGCUAUUUCAUACACUGAGUAUGAAAAAAUCACCAUCUUUCUAAAAUCUAUAUUUGAUUCUAUAAGGAUGGUGCAUGAAGGGAACACAUAAGUCAAU
rnacentral:lncRNA from 1 species